rnacentral:tRNA from 1 species
GCGCCCGUAGCUCAGCCGGAUAGAGCGCCGGACUUCGAAUCCGUAGGCCGCAGGUUCGAAUCCUGCCGGGCGCA